GCCCGGAUGGCGGAAUUGGUAGACGCGCUGGUCUCAAACACCAGUAUCUUCACGGAUAUCUCGGUUCGACCCCGAGUUCGGGUA
rnacentral:tRNA from 1 species